rnacentral:rRNA from 1 species
AGCGAACGCUGGCGGCAGGCCUAACACAUGCAAGUCGAACGAAGUCUUCGGACUUAGUGGCGGACGGGUGAGUAACACGUGGGAACGUACCUUUUGGUUCGGAACAACUCAGGGAAACUUGAGCUAAUACCGGAUGAGCCCUUAGGGGGAAAGAUUUAUCGCCGAAAGAGCGGCCCGCGUUAGAUUAGCUAGUUGGUGAGGUAAAGGUUCACCAAGGCUACGAUCUAUAGCUGGUCUGAGAGGAUGAUCAGCCACACUGGGACUGAGACACGGCCCAGACUCCUACGGGAGGCAGCAGUGGGGAAUCUUGCGCAAUGGGCGAAAGCCUGACGCAGCCAUGCCGCGUGAAUGAUGAAGGUCUUAGGAUUGUACAAUUCUUUUACCAGGGACGAUAAUGACGGUACCUGGAGAAAAAGCCCCGGCUAACUUCGUGCCAGCCGCCGCGGUAAUAC